rnacentral:lncRNA from 1 species
AAGCUAUUAGGGAUAGUAAGUUGAUAUGAUAUAAAUGAAAUUGAUUGUUAUUGAAAUGAAUUAAAAUGGAAUAUGAUUGAUAAGUGUAUAGUUGAAUAUAGUUUAAUGAUAUUGAAUUGUGAAUAAAUUAAGGAAAGCUAUACCGAAUAGUAAGUGAAAGAAUGGAGUAAAUAAUAAUGGAUUUAGUUAAGAAUUGAACAAUUAUGUUAUUGUGUUUAUUAUAUGAUUUGUAUAAAAUUUAUAUGGUAAGUAGUUGAAAUUUAUCUAUGAAUAAAUAAUUGAAUAAUUGUAAUUGUUAUUAUGAUCUUAAGUAUUUGUUAUAUUAUAAAUUGUUCGGAUUAUAGAAAUACCACUGAG